rnacentral:rRNA from 1 species
UACGUAGGGGCCUAGCGUUGUCCGGAUUUAUUGGGCGUAAAGAGCUCGUAGGCGGUUCGGUAAGUCAGGUGUGAAGUCCCCGGGCUUAACUUGGGAACUGCAUUUGGGACUGCAAGGCUGGAGUACGGCAGAGGGAGGUGGAAUUCCACGUGUAGCAGUGAAAUGCGUAGAGAUGUGGAGGAACACCGAUGGCGAAGGCAGCCUCCUGGGCUAGUACUGACGCUCAUGCACGAAAGCGUGGGGAGCAAACAGG